UACGUAGGGGGCUAGCGUUGUCCGGAUUUAUUGGGCGUAAGAGCUCGUAGGUGGUUCGGUAAGUCGGAUGUGAAACUCCGAGGCUCAACCUGGAGGGGUCAGUUCGAUACUGCCGUGACUAGAGUUCGGUAGAGGAGUGUGGAAUUCCUGGGAUGGAGCGGUGGUAAAUGCCGCAGAGAUCAGGAGGAACACCCGUAGCGAAGGCGGCACUCUGGGCCGAUACUGACACUGAGGAGCGAAGCGUGGGGAGCGAA
rnacentral:rRNA from 1 species